rnacentral:rRNA from 1 species
GACGAACGCUGGCGGCGUGCUUAACACAUGCAAGUCGAACGAAGUGGCGAACGGGUGAGUAACGCGUAAUCAACCUGCCCUUCAGAGGGGGACAACAGUUGGAAACGACUGCUAAUACCGCAUACUGAAGGAGGGGAUUGCGUCUGAUUAGCUAGUUGGAGGGGUAACGGCCCACCAAGGCGAUGAUCAGUAGGCGGGCUGAGAGGAUGAACGGCCAACAUGGGGACGAGACACGGGCCAGACUCCUUCCGGGGGCAGCAGUGGGGAAUCUUCCGCCAUUGACGGAAGUCUGACGGAGCAACGCCGCGUGAGUGAUGACGGCCUUCGGGUUGUAAAGCUCUGUUAAUCGGGACGCGGUACCGGAAUAGAAAGCCACGGCUAACUACGUGCCAGCAGCCGCGGUAAUUC